CGGCCCGGCUCCGCGGUCCCUCCGCGGCGUGCCGGGCGCCGGUCGCGGCUCCUCGGGUCCGAAGACAAAUGGGGUAUCCGGCUGGUCCUCAGGGGUGCCGUAGACUCGUGGUGUAGAGAGAGCAUUGGGACGGAUUCACGCCGUGUGGACCAGACUCGCCCCCAGCACCCGGCACGUCUCCAGAGCCACCUUCUGUGCCCGGCUGCCACCUUUCCUCUGGGACCAUGAGACCCUCUGUCCCCCCAAAGGGUGCUGGUGGCGUGAGGGUUUUGUCCCCUGUGGCGUCCCUUCAUGUGACGGGGGACAGGGAGGAGGCUUCCUGUGGCUGCAGCAGCUGACCCAUGACGCAUUUACGCGAGUACGAGCGGCCCCGGGAGCCCGGACACCUGCCACUUUCAUCACCGGGAGAGAGAACAGAGCAGAUCUCACCCGGGCCGCCCUCAGAGUCUCUCUGUCAUCACAGCCUUUGCCGCUUUAUCGCGUUCCUUCCUGUUUUCACCCAUUACUUCCGUCUUCCUGGACACGCUGUUGCUGCAUGGGAGCCGGCGGCCGACGUGUCUGCUGGGACUCGGUGCUCUCGUGGUGCGCCUUCCUCGGCCUCACGGGCUUGUGCUCUCAUCUGCUCAGGGUUACCCUCAACACUGGCCCUGGGCGGCUUGUGCUUACCUAGUCUGUACCGCGAGACGAACCAUGUGUGUCCUCCGGGCUCGGGAUGGGCUCCCACCCCUGCUCCUUCCCUCUUGUUCACACCACGUUGGCUCGGGCGCUGCAGGAAAUGCAAAUGAGUUGAGGGAGAAGGAGCCGUUAGUCCUCACAGUGGACCGACAGCCAGGGCGGCCAGUCUGUGCUGACCCCCAGGCGCCCGCGGCCUCUUCGGAAUUCAGCGUGGACGGGAUUACCUCGGUCUGUCCUGGGGUUCCCGUGUCCUCGUCCGGGAAGUGGGGACAGCGUCUGCAGAUAGAGAAUAUAGAACCACGCACCUAAGAGCCCGUCACCUGGUACGUAGUAGGCGCCCCGUAAUGCAGUGUCGUUCUCUCCUUUACCCGUGGUCCGUCUUCUGAUUUGCCCCAGGUUAGGGGUGCCUUCUCCCCGGCGCUUGAGCUCGAGGAGAGUGCAGGUCGCGCCUUCGCCCUGCACCGGUCGUUAACGCACAUUAUUGCAUCUACGUGAGCUGCCGAGCAGCCCUGUGAGCGGACGUGGGCUCCCAUUCUCACACCGGGUCUUUGCCAAGUCUCCCCAGUGCGUUUACCGGGAAGUGGCGAAGGUGAUGCGUUCGGAGGUCACGGAAGGCUCUCCCCGCACACAUUCCCCCGUGAGGGUGCUCAGUCCUCAGACUCCCCAGUAAGCUAGCACUUCCUUCCACUUACCAGUUUUAGUCCUCGUUUCUGAGAUGAAAUUCCACAGCACAGCCGAUUAUGGGUACUCAUGACCGCUUUCAGCCGGUCUGAUUUUGAUAGUGUGUUGCUGUAUGUUUCUUCCAUACACACCCGGUGUUUGUCCACACUCCUUCCACCCGUGGGUCGAUACUUUCCAUCGGAUUUAGAAACCGUCAGCGCCCAUUGCUUCAAGUGUUUUUCCGCUUUCCUCCUCUUUCCCCUGGGACUCUAACCACACGUAUCCUCCAGUGAUUGACGGUGUCCCACGGCUCGCUGAUGCCCUGUUCAUCUUUGUUGUUUUCUUUUCUUUUUUUUUAGGUAUUUUGGUAGUUUCUAUCCCCAUUUUUCAUCUCAGACAUUGUAAUUUUAAUUCUAGAAUUCAGUUUAUGUCUUUUUUAAAAAAGAUUUUUAUCUAUUUAUUUGAGAGAGAGAACGCGAGCAGGGGGGAGGGGCAGAGGCAGAGGGAGAAGCAGACUCCCCGCUGAGCAGGGAGCCCGAUGUGGGGCUCGAUCCCAGGACCCUGAGAUCGUGACCUGGGCCGAAGGCAGACGCUUAAUGACUGAGCCACCCAGGCAGCCCUGCCUUGAAGUUUUGGCAGCAUCCUAGACGUUGUAAAUUUUAUGUUGUUGUUUUUUUUUUUUUUUAAUUCCUUUCAAUAUUUUUGAGCUUUGAACUGGGAUGCCAGUAAGGUACUUGGAAACAGUUUGGUUCUCCUGAGGCUCCGUUUCCCACUUGGUUGGUGGGACUGAGCAGCCUUGAGGCCCGGGUCCCUGCAGUAAGACCCUUGUGUGGCUCUGCGGGGUGCGUGCCCAUGGCAAGGGUUCUCCACUCCAGCCAUUCCCAGACCUGUGUGAGCUCCAGGAACGCUGCCCGUGCCUCCCACGGGUUCUGUCCCUGGCUCCGGGUGGGGACAUGGCGCCAGCACGUGUGUGUGAGGCCCGGGGUCAGCUGGCUCUCUCCUCUGCGACGCUCAGCUCCGUCCCUUCAGCCGGGCCCAUCCUGGCUCUUACCUCACCUGUCCCUCUUCCCUCGGGGCACCCUGCCCGGCACCCCUGUUGUCCACUGUUCUGUCUGGCUUCUUAGUUGGCUGGGACGGGGGGGAUGGUAAAUCAGUCCUCGUGACUCCUUCACGGCCAGAAGCGUUAGUCCUGUCUGUGUACAGAGAUGUGCUCGUCUGCUCUACAAGGCGUUCGUUUAUGCCGAUUUUGUGGGUGAGGGAGCAGUUUUCACGUUUGAAAGAAAGGCCAUCAUUUCUCAUUGUUCUGUUCUGUAGUCGGGACAGAAGGAACUUAAUUCUGUGUUGCUCCCCAGGCAGCGUUGGCGGGCAGGUCUCAGGGACCAAGUCCCCACCCGUCUGCGGAGUCUGGCUCCCCCUGCCCCACACUUCAAGUCAGGAAUGCGAAAAGCCCCGCUUCCUCCUCCUCCUCCUUGCAGUUUUGUUGAGCAAACAAGGAGCUGUGUGGGCACAGGGUUGGAAGUCACACUUAGGUUCAGAUCUUGGCUCUGCCUUGGAUGCAUCACGUGACCUUGGACAAACUAGUGAACCUCUUCGUCUCUUCAUCCGUAACAUGGCAAUAUAAAGCAAUCCUGUUUCUUUUCUUUUCUUUUCUUUUUUUAAGAUUUGUUUACUUUAGAGAGAGAGAGCGUGCACGCGGUGGGAGGGACAGAGCGAGAAGGAGAAUCUCCAGCGGACUCCCCACUGGGCACGGAGCCCGACCUGGGGCUCGAUCUCACGACCCUGAGAUCACGACCUCAGCCGAAAUCAAGAGUCGGCCGCUCCACCGACCGAGCCCCCAGGCGCCCCUAUAAAGCCUAUUUCUUAAGGUUAGACGUGACUGGAAAACUGCUUCAUUACUUUGCAGGUGCCCAGGGGAGGCAAACGAGGCUCCCGGGCUGAUGGAGUCCCUCAGCCCCAGGCCCUCUGCUGCAGCCCAGGAGCUCCUGGGCAUUCCUCCGUUCUCUCCUCCUGCCCCGUCCUGUCCUUCCCGUCUGCCCCCUCUCCCCAUCCCCAGGCUGAUAGCGCAGUGUGGGCCUCCCACUGCCCCCGCCAACAUCUCUUUACUCUGCUUAUUUGACGCCUGGUUUUCUUAGGUUGCAGUCCUGGGGGAACAGACCUCUAGAUGGAGUGUUGGGGGGCGCCCUGGGGAACAUCUGGGUGAGAGAACAGGGGCCGCGGGACGGGGCAGGGGAGGAGCUACGCCAGAAGCCUGCAUCAGCCCAGGGGACGUGCAGGGAGACCUUGGUGGCCGGGCCUGUGAACACACCUCCCUUUCCUCCCCGCCUCUCUGCUGACCACGAGGCAGGGUGCUCCAUCCCACGCAGCCAGUCUGCCUCCGUGGGAGGGAAGGGGCUGCCCUUCUCUGUUGGCAGCGGGCAGGUAGGAUGGGGAGGGGCUCCUGCUUCAUCCACUGCCCCCCCCAUCUGCGAGCCCCCAGCACAAGCUUCCUCCCAGUUGAUAAAUGAGUAGAGAUUUAGUAAACAGAAGUAAAAGAGACAAAAAAAAAAAAAAAGAAAAAUUCUGGAAUAAAGGCAAGGAAUGCUGGGGGCUAAGAACAUACUUCUGAAUAGACUCUAAGAUCAACCUCCAUUUCUAGUUUCCCCCCAUUUGUUGCUAAGAGCUGUCAAAUGCUUCCGUUUGAUGGGGGGGUUGUGAUGCACAACCAAGUUAUGAAAUGGAAUCUUCUUGAUGAGCAACACAUCACUGCGACGUUCCCUUGGUUCCUGAGGCUCUGGUCUAGGCUCUGCCCCAGGCAGGGAGGGGAGGAUGUGUAUGGGGAUGACUCAGGCAGGGAAGGAAGAGAUGGGCAGGAGCUAAGUGCUGACAUCCUCGUUUCUAGCAGGGGCGCGGGCAGCAGAUAAAGGUAACUGUAGGCUGUAUCUCACACCAGAAUGGCUUGAUAGCUUAAAGAGUCUGUUUUGGGAGGCCUGGGGAAGUCAAAAGAGAAAGGAUCUGAAGGCUGGCCUCUAGCUCAGGGAGUGAUGAACUAGGAGUGGAGAGCAGUGGGCCUAAGGAGGCAGGACGGGAAUGAAGGAUUUCCUGGGGGUGUGUGAGGGCUCCCUGAAGCUGGGGAGGUGGGUGGCGAGGCUUCGGAGCCAGAGGUGAUAGAAGCUUUAUUUCAUCUUUAGGGCCCCACUGUGAGGCAGUUUAUCAUUCUCCGUCCUCACUGUAGAGGUGACCAAGCAGCCUAAGUCUUUCAGAGUGAUGACAGCCAACUUCUGAGCACCUACUAUGUGCCCUUUAUACUCCCUCCUCCUCUCCCUCCCAAGUCCGGCUCCCCACCAUGCUCUGGCAAAGGCUGGGUCCGCUUGGGCUGGAGCUGGAUGCCCCAGGUGCCUUCCCCUCCCACGGCUCUUUCUGUGCAUCUCGGGCAGGACGGUCAGGAUCUGCUCCUCCGUGUGCCUCUCGGGCCUCAGCCACUCAGCAGAGCACCCACAGUUGGCUCAGGGGCUCCAGGGGACCCCGAGUCUCCUGGGAGCAGAGCUGCCUGAACCGCGGGCGGGAGAUCUCUGGACCCAGAGAGUGGUUCCCUUGUAGCCCAGUCUCGAACUCCCACGUCUCUUGCUCUGGCGCCAUCUCCAUAAUCGUCCCUUGAUCCUGUGUGCGCCGUGGACCAGAGUUCUAGCUGCUGCCCGUGGUACAGCCAUCCUAGCCUGGACUCGCUCCGGAGAAGGCCCACACCCGCGGCAGGCUUUCAGGGGCACCCUGCAGCAUAAGAAAAAGCAUUCUGCUUUCCGCGCUCACUGAACACACUCAGCUUCGCCAAGGAGCCAAACCCUGCAAUCCCUUCUUCUCCAUCCCUCCAUCCGUCUCUAGGAUCCUGUUCCACUAAGAGUCAUGCCUUUGAGAGACUUGCAGUCUGGUGGACAGAUACGUAUGGUGCUUUCCACGAUACUAGACAAAGGCUAAGAAAGAAAACAAAACACAGCAGGAGAAAAAAUGUCCCCGGGGCCCACAGGAAGUCACUAGCUUCCAGUAUCAGAGCCCAGACGCGAGCCGCACUCGGUGUGAUGUAAGCUGCCUGUUUCCAGUGAGGUUUGCAGUGACGGAUUCCAGCGCACGGGAGAGGCAGCCUCCGACCAGGUGGACCCCUCCACCGUUUCUCAAAUUCCUGUAGUGGCCACAGCAAAAGAAACAUUUUAAUUCCAUCGAGGGAAUAAUUCAAAGGCCCCGGAUCUGCAGCAGCGCCCUGGAUACAGGGCCGCCAGGAGCAAGACGGGGGUCUCCGGGAAGGGUCCAGCGUCAGGAAGGUCUAACGGGGAAGGAGAGGGGCCCCCGGGGGUUCCCCAGCUGGACGUCCCGCCAGCCUCACUCUCCUCCCUGGAGCACCGCCCCCUCCGCCGCCCCGCGCUCCCUGCACUGCCCGAAAGACACCUGCCCGGACGACACCUGCCGCGGGGACCCGGACCUCGCCACGUCCAGCGGUGGGGGAGGGGAAGGGGAGCGGCGCGCGCGAAGGGGGGAGGAGCCCCGCCCAGUGAUGGGGAAGGGGAACCGAGCCCAGCGGAGGAGGAAGGGAGGAGCCCCGCUCAGCAGAUGGGGAGACCAUGACAUCCUAUCUGAAAACCUACACGAAGUGGAUGGUCUCCUAGCAAAAUGUAAAUUAUGAAAAUUGUGUGUAGGAGCUAAAUGUGCGAUUCAGGGGUGGGCGAUCACAAGAAAGUGCUACAGAAGAAUUACAUUCAGAUGUCACAUGAAGUACUACUUUUUAGGAAAACAACAUUUUUAAAAUGGGAACCAUUAAAAUAUUUGACUAGAAACCGGCCAUCAAGUUUAAUUUGAAAUAAAUGGAUACCUCUCCCAAGCAAAA